AGCCUGAACGCUGGCGGCGUGGCUAAGACAUGCAAGUCGCACGGGGCGGAGCAAUCCGCCCAGUGGCGAACGGGUGAGUAAAGAAUCGCUAACGUACCCCGGACUCCGGGAUAGCUAUCCGAAAGGGUAGGUAAUACCGGAUGAGACCCCGACGCGGCAUCGCGUUGUGCUCAAAGGUCCGCCGGUCUGGGAGCGGACGAUUUCGUAUCAGCUAGUUGGCGGGGUAACGGCCCACCAAGGCGACGACGCGUAGCCGGACCGAGAGGUUGGCCGGCCACAUCGGGACUGAGACACUGCCCGGACUCCUACGGGGGGCUGCAGUAACGAUCUUCGCAAUGCACGCAAGUGUGACGGAGCGACGCCGCGUGGAGGACGAAGUCCUUCGGGAUGGUAAACUCCUGUCAGGGGUUACCAAGUUCUGAGGAGCCCCAGAGGAAGGCACGGCUAACUCUGUGCCAGCAGCCGC
rnacentral:rRNA from 1 species